GAUGUUUACCAUAUAUGGAUACACAUGGCACAUAAGAGUUUUAAUUUAUGCAUUUAAGGUUUGAUUCUCUUUUUUUUUUUUCUGCUAUAGAAUAAGCACGAUUACAAAGUUAAUAAAAAAUCGGUACUUUCUUUUUCGAGACGGGCGAGUAAUUGGGAGUAAAAACGAAGUGAUUUUUUCACUACACAAACGAGUUGAUGGCAGGUUAAACUCGUAUGUUGCAGCAGAUCACCCACCUCGGUUGAACCACGUUUUUAUGGAAGAAAGACCUUCGCUAUCUGUUUGAUCUUGAUAUUUUUUUUGGUUAAAGGUUCAGCUCUAUGACUUUUUGUAAAGGCCUUUAUUUAUAGGCAAAUUGGUUGUGGCUGUAGGAAGGUAGCGCGGUGCUUCAGGUGCAUAGGUUUAGUUCUCUAUGGCUGAAUGUAAUUAUACCAAACCAAACUCUUUGCUCUAA